rnacentral:lncRNA from 1 species
GUUUUUGGUUAUUAUCUUGAAUACUAUUAUAGAUAGAGAUAAACUGUAAACAGCAAUAAUGUUCAGCAAAGUAAGAUGUACAAAUAAGUCAACAUGAACGAAAUGGUCAGUUGACCCCUUUAGCAGUUAUUGCCCUUUAUAGUCAAUUUUUAACCGUUUUUCGUAAAUCUUAGUAAUCUUUUACAAAAAUCUUCUCCUCUGAAACUACUGGGCCAAAUUCAUCCAAACUAGGCCACAAUUUUCUUUGGGGUAUCUAGUUUAAAAAA